rnacentral:rRNA from 1 species
UGGGGAAUUUUGGACAAUGGGCGCAAGCCUGAUCCAGCCAUGCCGCGUGCGGGAAGAAGGGCCUUCGGGUUGUAAACCGCUUUUGUCAGGGAAGAAAUCUUCUGAGUUAAUACCUCGGGAGGAUGACGGUACCUGAAGAAUAAGCACCGGCUAACUACGUGCCAGCAGCCGCGGUAAUACGUAGGGUGCAAGCGUUAAUCGGAAUUACUGGGCGUAAAGCGUGCGCAGGCGGUUUUGUAAGACAGAGGUGAAAUCCCCGGGCUCAACCUGGGAACUGCCUUUGUGACUGCAAGGCUUGAGUGCGGCAGAGGGGGAUGGAAUUCCGCGUGUAGCAGUGAAAUGCGUAGAUAUGCGGAGGAAACACCGAUGGCGAAGGCAAUCCCCUGGGCCUGCACUGACGCUCAUGCACGAAAGCGUGGGGA